CGUCCUACGGGGGGCAGCAGUGAGGAAUAUUGGUCAAUGGCCGCAGGGCUGAACCAGCCAAGUCGCGUGAGGGAUGACGGUCCUAUGGAUUGUAAACCUCUUUUGUCAGGGAGCAAAGGGCGCCACGUGUGGCGUUUUGCGAGUACCUGAAGAAAAAGCAUCGGCUAACUCCGUGCCAGCAGCCGCGGUAAUACGGAGGAUGCGAGCGUUAAUCGGAAUUACUGGGCGUAAAGCGCGCGUAGGCUGUUGUGUAAGUUGGGGGUGAAAUCCCACGGCUCAACCGUGGAACAGCCCUUGAUACUGCG
rnacentral:rRNA from 1 species